rnacentral:rRNA from 1 species
UACGAAGGGGGCUAGCGUUGCUCGGAAUCACUGGGCGUAAAGCGCACGUAGGCGGAUUGUUAAGUCAGGGGUGAAAUCCUGGAGCUCAACUCCAGAACUGCCUUUGAUACUGGCGAUCUUGAGUCCGGGAGAGGUGAGUGGAACUGCGAGUGUAGAGGUGAAAUUCGUAGAUAUUCGGAAGAACACCAGUGGCGAAGGCGGCUCACUGGCCCGGUACUGACGCUCAGGUGCGAAAGCGUGGGAGCA